rnacentral:rRNA from 1 species
GUGGGGAAUUUUGGACAAUGGGGGCAACCCUGAUCCAGCCAUUCCGCGUGAGUGAAGAAGGCCUUCGGGUUGUAAAGCUCUUUCGUCAGGAACGAAACGGCGGGCUCUAACAUAGCCUGUUAAUGACGGUACCUGAAGAAGAAGCACCGGCUAACUACGUGCCAGCAGCCGCGGUAAUACGUAGGGUGCGAGCGUUAAUCGGAAUUACUGGGCGUAAAGCGUGCGCAGGCGGAUUGUUAAGCAAGACGUGAAAUCCCCGGGCUUAACCUGGGAAUGGCGUUUUGAACUGGCAGUCUAGAGUGCGUCAGAGGGGGGUGGAAUUCCACGUGUAGCAGUGAAAUGCGUAGAGAUGUGGAGGAACACCGAUGGCGAAGGCAGCCCCCUGGGAUGACACUGACGCUCAUGUACGAAAGCGUGGGUAGCAAACAGGAUUAGAUACCCUUGUAGUCC